UGCGCAGGCGGACUAUUAAGUCAGUGGUGAGAUCUCUCGGCUCAACCGAGAAACUGCCAUUGAAACUGAUAGCCUUGAGUGUAGUUGUAGUAGGCGGAAUAUAGCAUGUAGCGGUGAAAUGCUUAGAUAUGCUAUAGAACACCGAUCGCGAAGGCAGCUUACUAAACUAUUACUGACGCUCAUGCACGAAAGCGUGGGGAGCAAACAGGAUUAGAUACCCUGGUAGUCC
rnacentral:rRNA from 1 species